UACGGGGGGAGCAAGCGUUGUUCGGAUUUAUUGGGCGUAAAGAGCGUGUAGGCGGCCAGAUAAGUCCGCUGUGAAAUCUCGAGGCUCAACUUCGAGCUGUCGGUGGAAACUAUCUGGCUAGAGUCCGGAAGAGGAGAAUGGAAUUCCUGGUGUAGCAGUGAAAUGCGCAGAUAUCAGGAAGAACACCCGUGGCGAAGGCGGUUCUCUGGGACGGUACUGACGCUGGAGACGCGAAAGCGUGGGGAGCGAACAGG
rnacentral:rRNA from 1 species